GACUCAGUGGUGUAAUGCUCAACGCACCAGCUCACUAUAAUGUCUGUUACUAUGGUAAGCUGGAGUUCCCCGUUCGACUCGGGGCUAGGUCA